GUGGAGUGCUUAGAGCAGGGGGCCUAAAUAACUGACUCUUGUUUAUUAUACACCACACGAAGAAUUGAGGGUUCAAUGAUAAAGGUCACAAACCUUGUGGUUUUCCUAGGAACAAUACCCUACAGAU
ensembl:snoRNA